rnacentral:tRNA from 1 species
AGCUUUAUAGUUAAAAAAAAAAUAUUAAAUUUGUAAUUUAAAGAUAAAUUAAAUUUUUAAAGCUU